UCAAUGAACCCUAUCAAUAGUGAGUUUAACGCCAUCACUAGGGCGAACAAUUGUCAAUCAAUAUAAAUUAUGUUGAAAAAAAAAUUAUAUAAAAAAAAGAAUAUGUAUGAAAUAAGUUAUGAGAAUUAUCGAUUUGAUAAUAUAAAGAAAAUAUGUAAUAUUUCUCUCAAUGAACCCUAUCAAUAGUGAGUUUAACGCCAUCACUAGUGCGAUCAAUUUUCAAUCAAUAUAAAUUAUGUUGAAAAAAAAAUAUAUAAAAAAAAAGGAUAUAUGUAUGAACUAAGUUAUGAGAAUUAUCGAUUUGAUAAUAUUAAACAAAUAUGUAAUAUUUAUUUCAAUGAACCCUAUCAAUAGUGAGUUUAACGCCAUCACUAGGGCGAACAAUUGUCAAUCAAUAUAAAUUAUGUUGAAAAAAAAAUUAUAUAAAAAAAAGAAUAUGUAUGAAAUAAGUUAUGAGAAUUAUCGAUUUGAUAAUAUUGAACAAAUAUGUAGUAUUUAUCUCAAUGAACCCUAUCAAUAGUGAGUUUAACGCCAUCACUAGGGCGAACAAUUGUCAAUCAAUAUAAAUUAUGUUGAAAAAAAAAUUAUAUAAAAAAAAGAAUAUGUAUGAAAUAAGUUAUGAGAAUUAUCGAUUUGAUAAUAUAGAACAAAUAUGUAAUAUUUAUCUCAAUGAACCCUAUCAAUAGUGAGUUUAACGCCAUCACUAGGGCGAACAAUUUUCAAUCAAUAUAAAUUAUGUUGAAAAAAAAUUAUAU